AACAAAUGUUCAUUCCUGAAUUACUUCAGAUUGUCCCAUUUAUUCUCUGCUCCAGGGAGCCCUGCAGGAUUGCUUGGAAAGAGCACCCUGAAGUUCUCCUCUACAGUGCUCUAUUGUCAGAAGACAUAUUUUAAUCAAAAGGCUAUUACACAGCAGGAGCAGUGGAGCAGAGGGGAAUCCUGGCAACGGAAUCCAUCUCCUGUAAAGCUAACGGACAAGAGCCUUGCAGUCUCCAGUGGACUGGGUCAGCUUUACUCAAGUCAAAUCACUGCCUUCUGCAUUCUCCCUGGCCUCAGUGAGUGAGCACGUCACCUCAUCUAGAAGCAAUACCAACUGAUGGACCAACUGAACUUCAGGCCGUAGGAACAAAAUGACUAUUGCAAUGUCCCAGGGGAAGAGUCAGUGCCGCAUUUCAUUUCAAUUGAUAUGGGCAAUGCCGACACUGGCUAGUUAUCAAACAAGUCAGACACACCUGUUGCUUCCACAAAUGCCAGUGUUCUGUUUCGUGUUUGGUCACGAUUCCCGAGUGGCCUUCUUGAGUGAAGGUGGUCAUCUGAGGUCACACAGAGACUGGACCAGAUAAGAUUCCCAGGUCUUCUCUGAAGGACAUUGCAACCAUCUUGCUUUCUUUAGAACUGUAUUGGAAAUUUGUGGACACCAGAAUGAUGCCAGCUUUUUAUUCCAGAUAUAUUUAAUGAUUUGAAUUAAAACUUUCCAGUUGGCAUGACAGGAUUGCCCAAGGUUCAUGAUACUAGCCCAGUAACUUAGUUAUUAACUAAUUUACUACUAUUUCACAUGUGUAAUUUUAGGAUUUUUGGUAAAAGGAAUUUAUAGAAAUUCACUUAUGUUGGGUGUUCUAAAAUUCAAUUGUAACCUCAAGUGUACUCCAAAGCUUUGUUUAUGGAUGCACUUGAAAUUGACUUUCAAUUUGGGCAUAUCCUGACUGAUUGGCUCCAUUAGCAGUCUGUAGAAGCUGACUGAAAGGCAUUACCAAAACUGAUGCACUUGGACUAUUUCCUAGUUGAAUGAUCUUUAUCAUUAAGGAUAUCUUCUUAGAAAUCACAGAUCUCCUUUAACAGUUUAAUGUAGUGCUGAUCUGAAGCAAUGCCUAUUAAAACAUGUACUUACCUCUUUAUCUGUAUUAUUUACACAAACUCAGAUUUCUAUUUAAGAAUUUUAAGUGCUAUACAUCAUAAUCAACCAUAACCACCAACAAUCAGAUCACAAGGGGAAUGUUGUUCAUCUAUUAAAAUAAAACACUUGGGUAUUUGUACAAGAUUGUUAGCACCUGCGCACUUCACUAAGUUCCUUUCAUGACAAAUUCCAGUGUUUACAUUUAUAAUGGGCAAUUCAUGAGUGAACUUAUUAGAUGGUAAUUGCACCCUUUCACCUGUUGAUGUGCUGCAGAACAACAACUGGGAAAAUGCGCAAUGUAAUGAAUUUACAUUAGCAAUAUUAAAGUGUAGACAUACAAAUCAAUUAUGGAAACUUUUUAAUAAAGAACAGCAAAUGUCUGACUUUAAAAUGAGGACUAAUUAAAAAUGUGACACUGUUAAUUUUUCCCAUCUUCUAGUUUUCCUUCACCUGAA